UUCAUUUUUUUAUUUUUAGUGUCCGUUCUAAGAGUCAGCUGUGAAGAUCUCACUCCAUCAAAGCAAGAAGAGUUCAGUCCAGAAGGCAGCACUGUUACUCUGUCCUACAAAUACUCCAAAACUAUAGCAGCUAAUGAUUAUUUCUACUGGUAUCGACAAUAUCCAGGAAAACCACCAGAGUUCCUCAUCCUUCACUUGGGAACAACACCUGCAUCAAACUCUCGACUGUCCGUUAAACCGAGUGAGGAUAAAACCCAGGUCUAUCUGAGCAUCUCCUCUGCUGCAGUGACAGACUCUGCUGUGUUCUACUGUGCUGUGCAGCCCACAGUGACAGGAAACACCAACACUCUGUACAAAAACCUUUGGAGCAAAGACAACACAGUACUGCACUACAUCCACCAGAGGGAGUCUCUCUCUGUUCACCUUCAGCAGGAUGUGAUGAUACAGUCUAGAUUAGAUUCUCUCAGACUCACAGCUGUGAUGAAGAGCUCCAGAAACUCAUUGGACAUCUGAGUCUCCUCCUGCUGACUGCAGAGCUUCAUGACUGACACCUCUCUGAUUCCAGCUGUGAACAUCAGACCAAACACAACUCACUAAACGUUUCCAUACUGAACAACCACAGCUUUCCCCUCUGUGAACAUGGAGAAACUGGCUGCAAUUCUGCUCUGUUCAGCUCUCAUAGGUACGUAUGUUUCUGACAGGAGAAGGGGAAAUAUGAAGACUUUUUCAAAGCAUUACACAUCCACUUUGGAUUUUGGAUUAACGCUUUACAGGAGUGUUGUUUUUUCACUAAGGA